CCAAUAGCGUAUAUUAAAGUUGUUGCAGUUAAAAAGCUCGUAGUUGAAUUUCGGGGUUAGCAGGUCGGUCGUGCCAUCGGUAUGAACUGGUCUCGCUGAUCCCUCCCUCUUGACGAACUGUGAUGGCAUUAAUUUGUUGUCGCAGGGAAUCAGGACUGUUACUUUGAAAAAAUUAGAGUGUUUAAAGCAGGCUUUCGCUUGAAUACAUUAGCAUGGAAUAAUGAAAUAGGACGUUUGAUCCUAUUUUGUUGGUUUCUAGGAUUGACGUAAUGAUUAAUAGGGAUAGUUGGGGGCAUUAGUAUUAAAUUGUCAGAGGUGAAAUUCUUGUAUUUAUUGAAGACUAACUACUGCGAAAGCAUUUGCCAAGGAUGUUUUCAUUAAUCAAGAACGAAAGUUAGGGGAUCGAAGACGGUCAGAUACCGUCGUAGUCUUAACCAUAAACUAUGCCGACUAGGGAUCGGAUGAUGUUAAUUUUUUAAUGACUCAUUCGGCGCCUUACG
rnacentral:rRNA from 1 species